UACGUAGGGGGCUAGCGUUGUCCGGAUUUAUUGGGCGUAAAGAGCGUGUAGGCGGCCAGGUAGGUCUGCUGUGAAAACUCGAGGCUCAACCUCGAGACGUCGGCGGAAACCAUCUGGCUAGAGUCCGGAAGAGGCGAGUGGAACUCCUGGUGUAGCGGUGGAAUGCGCAGAUAUCAGGAAGAACACCAACGGCGAAGGCAGCUCGCUAGGACGGUACUGACGCUGAGACGCGAAAGCGUGGGGAGCAAACAGG
rnacentral:rRNA from 1 species